UUUUUUCUCCCAAACCCUUCCCAUUCGUAUCCAGCUCUUGUUCCUGCCGAGAUCUCCGGCGAUCGCCGCCGGAGAGAUCUCCGGCGAUCACCACGCGGAAUCGGAGGGGACGGGAGCCGCUGCGGAGCUUCGACGGCGGUUGCGAGCAGUGACCGACACAGGCGAUGCCGCACGACGGAGUGGAGCAGCUGAAGCUGAGGAGCUACCACAUGGUGGAGUGGGCGGUGGACGUGGGGAUGUUCCGUGCGGGUGCAGUGGAGGAUGUAAGGAGGUCCCGCUUCGCGGUGGCGAAGAUCGGAGAGGAGGACGACGGCGACGACAAGCCCAAGGACGAGGAGUACUGGAGCGAGUGACGAGGAUUUGAGGAUCCGAGCAACCGAAUCAAUGAGUGUGAGCAAUAGCACCCUGGAAAUGAGUUUAAGAAAUAUGACAAAUAGGUCCUUGCAAACAAUGGCACAUACAAUUGGCUCAAAAAGUUAUGAAAGACUACGUGAAGAUAAGGUACAGAAUUUCAACAUUUUAUGUUAUGUUUUGUCUAUUUUAUGUUAUGUUUUGUUUUGUUUUCGAGCGCAAGAAAUUCAAGUGAUCUGAGCACAAUUUGAAACUGAGGUAGAGGCAAAAUGGGAAGCAAAGAUGAAAGAAAUUACUGAUAAACAACGAGAUAUGGAAAUAAUGAUGACUAAUAUUUUGAAACAUUUGGAUGGUACUACAUCUUCUCAACCGGUUGACAAUGAAAUGCAAUCUAGCACAAUAUAAUCAUGUGCACAAAUAAACAAGUUUUUCAGGGGUAACAUGCAAUACCAGCUUUGCAAGGGUAACAUGCAAUACCUGCUGUUGUUUUAAUUUUCGAAUUUUGUGCUUGGUUUUGAUAUAUCAGCAUUUCUCUUUUCCAUUUCUAUGGUUUUUUAAUUGAAGGCAAUUUAAUUCAAAAAUUAUGGCUAGCUAGCUCGUGUAAGUUAAUUAGUGGUCUUCAGCGCUAUUUGACUUUGGGUUUAGAUAUGUGUUAGUUAAUUAGUCUCUAGCUUUAUUUUUCAGUUAGUUUCUAUUUUUAUUUUGUUAACUUAAAUUAGAAAUUAUUAGAAGAUGAGGAAAGAACAUACUUUGAGAAAAAGAAUGGAGCUCCACUUGGAUCAUACUUAUUCUUAACAUCAAUAUUUUUUUAUUUUAUCUUUCUUUCAGAUUUUAAUUUUGUCUAAUUAUAUUUGUUUUUAAUUCAUUGCAGAUAAGGAUGAGUGGUGCAAUUUCUACAUAGUGUUAGUAUUCGACAAUCCUUUCUUUUGGAUGUGGACCAUAUAAUCAAAUGUACUUAUUUUAGAUUGAAUCAUUUAGUUUAAAUUUGAAGAUUCUUUGUCAUGUACUUAAAAAAUUGAAGAUAUUGGGAGGUAUUUUGUAUGAUGAAUGUGAGAAUAUUCUGUCUUUUCGUUAUUAGAA